UUUCAAAUCGAUACCAUGAAAAAAAAAUAUUUUUUUUCGAUUGAACCCACUAUUGUACAACUAUAUAAUGGUAAUAUAAAUGUUAAUAUAGUAUUUUUGGCCCUCACUGUCCAUCAUAUUUCAACCUUCUCAAUCAUAGCUCAUUCUCCCUUAAUUAAAAGGUAUUAAAAUCUUGUGUAAUUAUUUUAAGUUUAUAGAAUAUGAAAUAAAAAGGAAUACAAUUACUAUAAAGAUAAUAUAUAAGAUUAGAAAUAAUAUAUUACUAUAGUAUAGUUGUAUGAUCCAAAUAUUUAAAAAUAAAAAAUUAAACAGCACCGAGAAGUAACACCUUGGAUUAUCGCACGCUAUAGUAUUAUGUUAUUGGUUAACUACGACAUAAAAAUCACGUCGGAUUAUCGCACGCUAUAGGAUUACUAGUUUUAUAAAGAACGGGAUGAACGUACCUAUCUGUCCUCUCUUUCUCUCUGUUUCCUAUUGUAGCGCACUCAACUUUCUCCAAUGAAGCGCACUCCACGUAGGCAACCUCUGAUAUUUCUAUCCUCCAAUUGAAGCAGCUUUAGAGUUUGGUUUGGUUUGGUUUGAUCAGUUUUAGACUCAAAACCACGUCGAAAUGCUGCUUCUUCUUCCAAGAACUUACAUGGCAAAGAGGAGGAUCGGAAACGGAAACAAGUACUGCAACCUCUUGGUGCCGACUAAAGGGGUAAAGGAGGUUCUCUAGAGUCGUGUUGUUCUGAUGCUGCCUUGUCCGAUGAAUCACCUUCUGAAGGCAAAGGUGAGCUAGCUUACAGAGGAUCUUCUACUUCUGGCAUGGAAGAGAAACGCAAUCUCGAACGUUUGUACUCACAUCAGUAGAUUGUGAUGAGGAAAUCGAUCGGACAUUGGAAAAGCUAAAUGAAAAUGGCCCUCAUACUGAUAUAGAAUUGAUUAUGGAUCGUAUUGGUUGGAGCUGUGAGUGUUUAAUUUAAUUUCUAUUUUUAUGGACAAAGGUUUUGGAAGCUUCUUUACUUUGAAAUUGUAUAUUGGUAGGAAUUGCUAGGUUGCUAAUGUGUGAUGUUCAUUAUUUUAGUUUCUAUAUCUUGAGGAUUCUUUAUGAGUUGCUACACGGUAAUGAAUUAUGGUCUUGAAGCUGUUUUUAUUGAUUUUAUGUCUUAAAGUUGGUUAGUUGGGCUAUGUGGUAUAAUGAUAUUUGUCAGUGAAUUGGUGUACUUGGGAAAGGAAAGAACUUCGUGCUAUUUUCUUCUUAUCAGGAACUUGAUAGUUGGGACUAGUGUUUCUUUUGAAAAAAUUGAUGAGCUUGAACUGACCACAGUUUUGUAAGUCCGUCACUACAUAUUUAAGUAUAGUUAUUUAAUACUUUGUCAUCAAACUGUAUAGUUCUGUCUUUAUGACUAGCAGACUAGUCUCAACAUAAGAUAGUCAUUGGUCCUUGUUACAUUGUUUGGUUACUGAGGCAAAUAGAAAAUCAUGCUAUUCUUGUUUAAGCUGUGGGUGUGUGCGUGUGUGUGUGUGUUUUUUUUUUUAUUUUUUUUUAAGAAAAACCAUUCUAUUAAACUACUUAACAUAUGUCAAACUUGUUGCCAUAAUUGGCUUGUCUUUCUAAUGCCAUCUAAGUUUUGUUCAGUGUUCAUUGAGUUACAAUUUGUGACCUACUAGAUUUAUUUUAAUUAGUACUUUUUGAAGAUUAUCAUAGUGUACUUCUACUAAUAGGUAUUGUAGUGGAGAAAAAAAAAAAAAAAGUCAUGUUUACAAGUUUUGACCACAAAAAUCGAACGUUCCCCUUUAACAAAAGGAUGUUUUGUUAAUUUUUACGCCAUUUGUAUGAAUGUAUGAUGAAUUCAUGGAUUAACUCUCGGAUCAUUUGCAGUUGUAGUAAGCUCAAAAACCUAUACAAUGUUGCAAAGCGGGCUAGAUUUAAUACCAUUGUAAUGCCAAUUAUGGUUACUUCAUAAUAUUGAAUUAAUCUUUAUCUACGGGCCUAUGGCUGGGUAAGCUAAACCUGUUGUUAUGUCACCUUGGUUGUCAUGUAGGCUUUAUAUUGACUAACUCAUUUUUUUUUUCCUUGUCACAGAUAUGACUCCUGAAGAAUGCACUCGUAAACCACAGCAUAUGUAGAUAUGUCGGAUAUACGUGGAAGGCAAGUCUUGGGAGAAGUCUGACUAUAUCAAAUUGCUGAAAGAAAUUGACUGUGACCAUCGUUUCCUUGCUUGCUCUCUUGAGAAUUCUUCCUUUGUAUUCUUUGCCAAAUUAACCAAGUCAGAGGCUGCCAAGCUACAAGGUGUCAAGAGAGUCAUUCAAGUGUAUAUGUAUGAAACUUUCAUACCUUCAUACCGAUAGAAGGCCUUUUUUGAUCUGGCUUGGAGUAUUGCAUUUUUAGAGUUUAUUACUUCUUCCGUUUACUAUUACUUGACCCACUGUAAAUAGGUACACAUUCGUACAUAGUACAUACCAAGGAGUGAAAAUGAAAUCCAAAUGACAAAAUUACCCCUACCUAUUAACUUUCCUACCCAAAUGACAAAACUGUAUGAAACUAAAGGGACUGUCCAUUCUCACUCCAUUAUAAUCUAAUGACAUUUUAUUUUAGUUGAAAUUUCAAUACUCAUCUUUACUACAGUUUGCAUAA